rnacentral:rRNA from 1 species
GACGUAGGGGGCGAGCGUUGGCCGGAUUUAUUGGGCGUAAAGCGUGCGUAGGCGGCUGCGCAAGUCGGGUGUGAAACCCCGGGGCUCAACCCCGGAACUGCAUCCGAUACUGCGUGGCUAGAGGUAGGUAGGGGAGAUCGGAAUUCCUGGUGUAGCGGUGAAAUGCGCAGAUAUCGGGAGGAACACCAGUGGCGAAGGCGGCAUCCUGGCCCUGUCCUGACGCUCAGGGGCGAAAGCGUGGGGAGCAAACCGG